GCUCUUAUUUUUCAGGAGGGUGGAGCCUGUUUAUCCAUUUAUAGAUUAAAAUAAAAAGCAAAGUCAGUUAUCUUUUUUCUUUUUCUUUUUUUUUAAAAGGUAAUUUACCCAUGCUGGUGUAAACUCCAGCUCAUGAUUUGUUUGACAUAUUAGUAUUUCUCUUCUGAUCUAGUGCUGAAAUAUGAACUCUAAAAAUGAUAUAACUUAGCCACUAGGUGCUAAGCAAACACACUUUCCCGAAAGGAAGUUGAUUUAGUCACCUGGAUUGAAAUAUGAUGCUUAAAACUGUUAGCCUAAUAAUUUUGUAAAUUACUUCGGCUGGUGGUUUAGAUUUUCCUGCAGCUGUGAAUUAGGUGGAAAAAUAGUGCAGCUGAACAUAAUGUUGCUUUGUCAGUAGAGCACUCAUUGCUGGCAGGAUGUCAAGCCUGGAAAAGUAAAGAGGUCAUGACUCCACAUCUGUUUUGUGGAGAACAUAGUUAUUAGCACUAGUAUUACAGUGAACACUGGAGUGGAAAACAAAUAACUCCCGAGCUGAGUUGCUAGUAAUGAUACCUUUUAGAGUUGUUCCAUAGAUUGCAUUGGCUAGAUUCCUCCUAGCCAAACACUCUAGGAAACAAGUUUUGGAUAAAAUGCUCAAACAUAAGGUGGAGUUAUUUCAGUUAGUCUACAAAAUCUGAGGUUUUUCCCCUUUACUCUGUCACCUUUUCUCCUUCUCUGGUGGUUAGCUGAGGCUCUUCUUCAGGCCUGGUGCUAGACUACAGCUCUUUCGUUUGUAUAGUUUUCUGCUAUCUCUUACUGAUAUUUGUUGAAAGGUUAAAGAACCUUGUUUAAUGUAACUGGAAUUCAUUACAUUGCUUGGAUUUUUGUUGUAAUACUAUUAAAUAAGUUUACCCUAACACUUGCCUUUGAUACAGAACAAACUGCUAGUCUGAACAGGCUGUGACACUCCUGUGUACUAUUACCUAGCACUAACAGAAAUAAUAAUGACACAUUAUACGCUGGUUAGGAUGGGGACUAUCUUUACUACGUGUAAACCACAAUGGGGCACCGGGUUCAUUUGGGCCUGUAGGCACUACUGUACUGUAAUAGAAAACUAACGCUGUCUGUUUUGUUUAAUUUUUUCAAAACCUGCUUUUCCAUUCUAAGCAUCUAA